UGCAGUCGAACGAUGAUGCCCAGCUUGCUGGGUGGAUUAGUGGCGAACGGGUGAGUAACACGUGAGUAACCUGCCCCUGACUCUGGGAUAAGCGUUGGAAACGACGUCUAAUACUGGAUAUGAUCACUGGCCGCAUGGUCUGGUGGUGGAAAGAUUUUUUGGUUGGGGAUGGACUCGCGGCCUAUCAGCUUGUUGGUGAGGUAAUGGCUCACCAAGGCGACGACGGGUAGCCGGCCUGAGAGGGUGACCGGCCACACUGGGACUGAGACACGGCCCAGACUCCUACGGGAGGCAGCAGUGGGGAAUAUUGCACAAUGGGCGAAAGCCUGAUGCAGCAACGCCGCGUGAGGGAUGACGGCCUUCGGGUUGUAAACCUCUUUUAGUAGGGAAGAAGCGAAAGUGACGGUACCUGCAGAAAAAGCACCGGCUAACUACGUGCCAGCAGCCGCGGUAAUACGUAGGGUGCAAGCGUUGUCCGGAAUUAUUGGGCGUAAAGAGCUCGUAGGCGGUUUGUCGCGUCUGCUGUGAAAUCCCGAGGCUCAACCUCGGGCUUGCAGUGGGUACGGGCAGACUAGAGUGCGGUAGGGGAGAUUGGAAUUCCUGGUGUAGCGGUGGAAUGCGCAGAUAUCAGGAGGAACACCGAUGGCGAAGGCAGAUCUCUGGGCCGUAACUGACGCUGAGGAGCGAAAGCAUGGGGAGCGAACAGGAUUAGAUACCCUGGUAGUCCAUGGCCGUAAACGUUGGGCGCUAGAUGUAGGGACCUUUCCACGGUUUCUGUGUCUAACUAACGCAUUAAGCGCCCCGCCUGGGGAGUACGGCCGCAAGGUUAAACUCAAAGGAAUUGACGGGGGCCCGCCAAGCGGCGGAACAUGCGGAUUAAUUCGAUGCACGCGAAAACCUUACCAGGUUUGACUAACCCGAAACGGCCAGAAUGGUCCCCCCUUG
rnacentral:rRNA from 1 species